AUUGAACGCUGGCGGCAGGCCUAACACAUGCAAGUCGAGCGGAUGACGGGAGCUUGCUCCUUGAUUCAGCGGCGGACGGGUGAGUAAUGCCUAGGAAUCUGCCUGGUAGUGGGGGACAACGUUUCGAAAGGAACGCUAAUACCGCAUACGUCCUACGGGAGAAAGCAGGGGACCUUCGGGCCUUGCGCUAUCAGAUGAGCCUAGGUCGCGAUUAGCUAGUUGGUGGGGUAAUGGCUCACCAAGGCGACGAUCCGUAACUGGUCUGGGAGGAUGAUCAGUCACACUGGAACUGAGACACGGUCCAGACUCCUACGGGAGGCAGCAGUGGGGAAUAUUGGACAAUGGGCGAAAGCCUGAUCCAGCCAUGCCGCGUGUGUGAAGAAGGUCUUCGGAUUGUAAAGCACUUUAAGUUGGGAGGAAGGGCAGUAAGUUAAUACCUUGCUGUUUUGACGUUACCGACAGAAUAAGCACCGGCUAACUCUGUGCCAGGAGCCGCGGUAACAC
rnacentral:rRNA from 1 species